rnacentral:piRNA from 1 species
UGCCAACAAUUCUUCCUGACACCUGCCAGC